rnacentral:rRNA from 1 species
GUCGAACGAUGAACCUCACUUGUGGGGGGAUUAGUGGCGAACGGGUGAGUAACACGUGAGUAACCUGCCCUUAACUCUGGGAUAAGCCUGGGAAACUGGGUCUAAUACCGGAUAUGACUCCUCAUCGCAUGGUGGGGGGUGGAAAGCUUUUUGUGGUUUUGGAUGGACUCGCGGCCUAUCAGCUUGUUGGUGAGGUAAUGGCUCACCAAGGCGACGACGGGUAGCCGGCCUGAGAGGGUGACCGGCCACACUGGGACUGAGACACGGCCCACACUCCUACGGGAGGCAGCAGUGGGGAAUAUUGCACAAUGGGCGAAAGCCUGAUGCAGCGACGCCGCGUGAGGGAUGACGGCCUUCGGGUUGUAAACCUCUUUCAGUAGGGAAGAAGCGAAAGUGACGGUACCUGCAGAAGAAGCGCCGGCUAACUACGUGCCAGCAGCCGCGGUAAUACGUAGGGCGCACGCGUUAUCCGGAAUUAUUGGGCGUAAAGAGCUCGUAGGCGGUUUGUCGCGUCUGCCGUGAAAGUCCGGGGCUCAACUCCGGAUCUGCUGUGGGUACGGGCAGACUAGAGUGAUGUAGGGGAGACUGGAAUUCCUGGUGUAGCGGUGAAAUGCGCAGAUAUCAGGAGGAACACCGAUGGCGAAGGCAGGUCUCUGGGCAUUAACUGACGCUGAGGAGCGAAAGCAUGGGGAGCGAACAGGAUUAGAUACCCUGGUAGUCCAUGCCGUACACGUUGGGCACUACGUGUCGGGGACAUUCCACGUUCUCCGCGCCGUAGCUAACGCAUUAAGUUGCCCGCCUGGGGAAGUACGGCCGCAGGCUAAACUCUAGU